UACGUAGGGUGCAAGCGUUAUCCGGAAUUAUUGGGCGUAAAGAGCUCGUAGGCGGUUUGUCGCGUCUGCUGUGAAAACUGGGGCUCAACCCCCAGCCUGCAGUGGGUACGGGCAGACUAGAGUGCGGUAGGGGAGAAUGGAAUUCCUGGUGUAGCGGUGGAAUGCGCAGAUAUCAGGAGGAACACCGAUGGCGAAGGCAGUUCUCUGGGCCGUAACUGACGCUGAGGAGACGAAAGCG
rnacentral:rRNA from 1 species